GAACGCUCUCUGGCAACAGAGAGAGUGGCGGACGGGUGAGUAACACGUGGGUACCUACCCUAUGGUGAGGAAUACCGGCGAGAAAUCGCCGACAAUACCGCAUAGGUUUGCCAAACAAACAAAGCUCGCAAGGGCGCCAUGGGAAGGGCCUGCGGCCGAUUAGCUAGUUGGUGGGGUGAAAGCCUACCAAGGCGACGAUCGGUAGCUGGUCUGAGAGGAUGAUCAGCCACACUGGGAUUGAGAACGGCCCAGACUCCUACGGGGGGCAGCAGUGAGGAAUUUUCGUCAAUGGGGGCAACCCUGAACGAGCAACGCCGCGUGCAGGAAGAAGGUUUUCGGAUCGUAAACUGCUUUUCUCUGGGACGAGAACGGACGGUACCAGAGGAAUCAGCCCCGGCUAACUACGUG
rnacentral:rRNA from 1 species